rnacentral:rRNA from 1 species
UGGGGAAUAUUGCGCAAUGGGGGGAACCCUGACGCAGCCAUGCCGCGUGAAUGAAGAAGGCCUUAGGGUUGUAAAGUUCUUUCGGUAUUGAGGAAGGUUGAUGUGUUAAUAGCACAUCAAAUUGACGUUAAAUACAGAAGAAGCACCGGCUAACUCCGUGCCAGCAGCCGCGGUAAUACGGAGGGUGCGAGCGUUAAUCGGAAUAACUGGGCGUAAAGGGCACGCAGGCGGUUAUUUAAGUGAGGUGUGAAAGCCCCGGGCUUAACCUGGGAAUUGCAUUUCAGACUGGGUAACUAGAGUACUUUAGGGAGGGGUAGAAUUCCACGUGUAGCGGCGAAAUGCGUAGAGAUGUGGAGGAAUACCGAAGGCGAAGGCAGCCCCUUGGGAAUGUACUGACGCUCAUGUGCGAAAGCGUGGGGAGCAAACAGGAUUAGAUACCCUGGUAGUCCACGCUGUAAACGCUGUCGAUUUGGGGGUUGGGGUUUAACUCUGGCGCCCGUAGCUAACGUGAUAAAUCGACCGCCUGGGGANNANUCNCAAGGUUA